UUAUUAUGUCUGUUCAGAAGCCUACGGUUGAUCCACUGCGAACGUGAACUCUGUACGGCACAGAAAUUGUGGUUGGGAUGGUAGAAACCUGGGCUUGGAUGCCCGUGGCGCUCCAUAACUGGCUUCUCAACUAUUUCUUUUCUUACAACUGUGCCAUCAAAUGCCAUGGUUGUUAGCUAUUAUGAGGAAAUGUAGAACUAAAAGAAGGUUUCCUAUCCAAUCUAGAGUAAAGCUUUCUGAAGGGG